GAUGAACGCUGGCGGCGUGCCUAAUACAUGCAAGUCGAGCGAACGGACGAGAAGCUUGCUUCUCUGAUGUUAGCGGCGGACGGGUGAGUAACACGUGGAUAACCUACCUAUAAGACUGGGAUAACUUCGGGAAACCGGAGCUAAUACCGGAUAAUAUUUUGAACCGCAUGGUUCAAAAGUGAAAGACGGUCUUGCUGUCACUUAUAGAUGGAUCCGCGCUGCAUUAGCUAGUUGGUAAGGUAACGGCUUACCAAGGCAACGAUGCAUAGCCGACCUGAGAGGGUGAUCGACCACAGGGGAAAGAGGACGCGGCCCAGCCCCCUACGGGAGGCAGGGAGAGGAAAUCUUCCGCAAGGGGCGAAAGCGGGACGGGGAAACGGCGGGGGAGUGAGAAAGGUCUUGGGAUCGUAAAACUCUUUUUUUGGGGAAAACCAUAUUUGUAAGAAACGGUGCCAUUUUGAACGGAACCAAAUAAGAAACCCGGGCCAACCUCGGG
rnacentral:rRNA from 1 species